rnacentral:tRNA from 1 species
GGCCGGUUAGCUCUGUCAGUUGAGAGUGGCACUAAAAAUGCCAACGUCACAGGUUCAAUUCCUGUUUGGUUC